UGAGGAAUAUUGGUCAGUGGGCGGGAGCCUGAACCAGCCAAGUCGCGUGAGGGAAGACGGUCCUAUGGAUUGUAAACCUCUUUUGUCGGGGAGCAAAGAGGCCACGUGUGGUCAAAAGCGAGAGUACCCGAAGUAAAAAGCAUCGGCUAACUCCGUGCC
rnacentral:rRNA from 1 species